UUCAGGGUGUUUUCCUCUCCUUGCCCAGUCCCCUGGUGUGUGUGAGUCGUAGGCGUGGUCUGCCUGGCUUUGUGAUUCACUGAGUGAUGUAUAAGCUCAGGCUCCCGCCCAAGCGUUGGCCUGUGUGUGUGUCUACUGCGGGUGAUCAUUGAACUCGAGCAGAAUGUGCCCAUGCGCGGUGAAGACUGCCCUGCCCGGUACCCACCGGGUAUGUUAAAUUCAGGGGGAAGUGGCCUCAUUUUGAUCUUGUGUAUAGGCUGUGAUGUCCAAUGGACUUAAAAUAGCAAUACAGUGAUGCCUGUCUUUUAGUCCUUCCCUAUGUGUCUAGAGAGGGAAGGUUGAUGGACUAGGCUUCCUCCGAGUCCCUCGUACCUGUAACGAACCAAGGCCCAACAGAGUUUAUCAGAUUGGGACCAAUGGCAAUCUGCAUUCGAUCAGGUUGCUGUAUGACUGGCUUGUUGGCCGCCAUCACUGCAAGGUAAAAGUGAAAGGGCAUGCCUCUUUCGCAAGGACUCUGCUUUUUGUGCUGACAAUCUCCUCACUUCCUCUGAUGAAAUAGAAACUCUGGCUGCUGGUUAGUGCCCGAGGCAGCCAAGCAACGGUCACCGAAAGGCACCCCCCGCCCCCGACACAUCAGGGAAUGGACAUUAGCCUUACUUUUUAAAUCCACAUCUUCCCAAGGUCCAGUGGCAUCCAACACACAGUGUUACCAGGGUGAAGCAACACCUCUCCCUGGCUACUGGGAUGGCUUCUGGAAGUCCAUCAGCCUGGUCUGAGCUCCCGGUCUACUCUCAAGCCUUUCUCUUAGCGGCUUCCAGAAGGGAGAGGUUGGACGGUUUGCAUGUCCUCAUGCCCCCUCCACACCGAGCCCUGUGGAUCAGCUGAGUGGAAGGUUGGUCCACCGGUGACGACUUGAUCCUUCGGCCGUGAAGACGUCUACCAACUGACUAACUCAUCUGACUGGUGACCGUGAAGUCCAGCCACCUGUUGCCAACACUGCCAUGGUCAUGACCACCCCCAUCUCUCACCUGGAGUGUUGUAACAGACUCCUCACCUGUGACCUGCUUCUUGCUCCCCAGUGGCCUCUUGCCCGUGAAGGAGAUGGAGCGAUUUGUUUUUUUUUUUUUUAAAUGUUUAUUUAGUUUUGAGAGAGAGAAAGCGUGAGCAGGGAGGGGCAGAGAGAGGGGGGGACGGAUGAUCCAAAGCAGGUUCUGUGCUGGUAGCAGAAAGCCCGAUGCGGGAAUUGAACUCACGAACCAUGAUGAUCUUGACCAGAUCUUAAACGAUGCAGCCACGCGGGAGUGAUUCUUUAGAAACCCGGGUCCCCUUCUAUUAUUACUCUCUGCUCAGGACUCUCCAGCUUCUUCCUAACUCACUCAGACUGCAGCCAAGCUGAAGAAACUGUGUGAAAACAGAGUCUGAUUGCCCAUGAAAGACAAUGCCACCUUAUUUUGUAAAAAGAAAACCUGGAUUCUCCUAAGUCGGCCCCUGAAAGGGACUCUGCCCGUGGGGAUGGUGGAAACGUAAACCCCGCAGCCCCUCAUCUUCUCCCAGACGUGGUGCCACACUGCACAUACUGGCACAAGUGACCCUCUCCUUUGCUCCGUCUCGGAAAGUCUCCAGUGCGGAAGUCCCCGUUCUUUUCUCUUGGCUCCACGAUGACCUGUUGUAUGGCUGUCCCAUAAUGUAUUUAGCCUCUCUCCUGCCGAUAGGCAUUUGGGUCAUUUCUUAUCUUUUUUUUUCACUCCCAAAGUGCUUCAGUGAAAAACAAUGAAUAACUUCCUUUGCACAUAUGUGAAGUAUGUAGGACAACUUUCUAGAAACUGCUGGGUCAAAGAAUAGGUGCACCUCGAGCGUAAAUACAUAUUGUCAAAUUU